rnacentral:lncRNA from 1 species
AUGGUAGUGGAGCUCUAUUCUCUAUCGAUUGAAUCAGAAUUCUUUUAUGUAAACUUUCAAUCUCAAAUACGGCCCCAAAACGGGAAUAUGAUUUUUUUUUAUAAGGCAUUGGAUUAACUAUAUAUGUAUCUAUGUUUUCAUAUUUAUAUCAUGUCUGCCGGAUUGCUUGUGGGGUUGAGGUACUUUGAUGACAACAUCAAUACUCAAUAGGUUGGUGAAAGAGAGUAUAUAUUGGCGUUGAUCCAGAACAUCUUUUUGGGAACAAGUAGAGCAUCUCACUGCUUCCAAGGUAUUGCAAAAUUUUGCAGUUCAAACAACUUGGACUGGUUAUUGUUUUUUAUCUUAUUAGAUCUCUUGUUUGUUUUUCUUUACUAUUGAAUUUCAUAGUUAUUGAUUGUAGGAACAGGGUGGAGAUGUUAUACAGAGAAGUCUGGCAUUAGUAUCAUCCCUGAAACCAUCGAUAUCUGGAC